AGCAUUAAUUAGCGCGACACCAUGAUACGGGAGCGAGAGUGUGCACGUGUGUGUGUGUGCGCGCUAAUUUAGCUCCCAUGUCAUGUUCAGAAUAAAUGGUUCCAGUCUUGACUCCGGGUGGUUGGUGUCCUGAGCUGUCCGACCUCUUCAAAGUCCGCUACAACAGAAGAUGCAGAGUUGAUGUUGGCAAUGGCGCGGCACCAUCCUGAAGGUCUGGAUAAACUUCAAGCACAAACCGAAUUCACCAGAAAGGAUGGUAGAAACCGGGUCACAAGGCGCGAGACAGGUGGAACAGGCACAUGUAGGAACCGUGUCUGAGGAUGAGCGACAGGUAGCGUCGGUAGGAACCGGGUCUGAGAGCGGGAGACAGGUAGAACAGGCACCUGUAGGAUAGCCGGCGAGAAGGCAGGCGGGAAGCAUGGCGGGAAGCAUGGCGGGAAGCAUGGCGGGAAGGCCGGUGGGAUGGCCGUUACAACAGACACCGAUGGAAAUCCUGGGUCAGGGGUACUACGGAGGUGUUGCGUACAGCUCUUUUCAGUUCAGUUCAGUUCAGUACUGAAAACGACGGACAGACGAUGUACAGCUCACUGUACUGGUCUCGUACUGUAAUACAGACCAGAACUUAUGAUGACCUGGUCACUUCCCUCCUCCAGUUUAUAGGCCGGGCACGACCCGCUUUAGUCAGCCUGGCUCGGGACAUCCACAAUGCACUGACCGGUACCAGUGAUGCACUGACCGGUCACCGAUCAGUGAAAUGAAAGAAGUUCAAUUCAACAGAAAUGUGUGUUUAAGUGCUCAGGGGCCAAAAUGUGGCAACUUUGCAGCAACGGGGCUUGAACCAACAACCUUCUGAUUACUAAUUACUAAAUAAAAUUGACUUGACUAAAGCUAAA